GACAGAGGGUGCGAACGUUGCUCGGAAUUACUGGGCGUAAAGCGCGUGUAGGCGGACUGGUAAGUCGGACGUGAAAUCCCUGGGCUCAACCCAGGAACUGCAUCCGAAACUAUCAGUCUGGAGUGGUGGAGAGGAAAGCAGAAUUCCUGGUGUAGAGGUGAAAUUCGUAGAUAUCAGGAGGAACACCGGUGGCGAAGGCGGCUUUCUGGGCCGAUACUGACGCUGAGGAGCGAAAGCGUGGGGAGCGAACAGG
rnacentral:rRNA from 1 species